rnacentral:rRNA from 1 species
GACGAACGCUGGCGGCGUGCUUAACACAUGCAAGUCGAACGAUGAAGCCAGCUUGCUGGUGGAUUAGUGGCGAACGGGUGAGUAACACGUGGGUGAUCUGCCCCAAACUUUGGGAUAAGCCUGGGAAACUGGGUCUAAUACCGAAUAUGACCGAUACUCGCAUGGGUGUUGGUGGAAAGCUCCGGCGGUUUGGGAUGGGCCCGCGGCCUAUCAGCUUGUUGGUGGGGUAAUGGCCUACCAAGGCGACGACGGGUAGCCGGCCUGAGAGGGCGACCGGCCACACUGGGACUGAGACACGGCCCAGACUCCUACGGGAGGCAGCAGUGGGGAAUAGUGCACAAUGGGCGCAAGCCUGAUGCAGCGACGCCGCGUGAGGGAUGACGGCCUUCGGGUUGUAAACCUCUUUCACCAGGGACGAAGCGAAAGUGACGGUACCUGGAGAAGAAGCACCGGCCAACUACGU